UAUAUUAUGGUGAUUUUGCACAAUGAAUUUUGAUUUCAUAGGAAAUAUUAUAAUAAAUAUUUAAUAUAA
rnacentral:tRNA from 1 species